CCAGUGACCCAGGAAGUGUUUCUCAUCUCAGUCACACAGCCCUGUGUUGCAGAGGCUUUGUUCAAGGUAUCAGUAAUAGGAGCCCAAAUUCUCCAUCUUGGGGGACCCACUCAGGAUCAAAGGCUGUGCCCCAUGCACAGCAGAUAGAGAAUGUGAAAGGCACAUAUGAGGGACACAAUGAGAAGCCCAAGGCUUCCUGCCUCUCCUUCCUCUAAGCCCACUAGAGAAGAUCUCAGCACCAGGUCUGUGGAAAAUGCUGAGAGAUCAGAGAGAAGAAGGAACAAGCAAAAGCCACCUUUACCUCAAUAGCUUCCCAGCUGAAAAGAGGGCAAGUUCCUGUUUCUUCCCACUUAUAUUCUCUCUCCAUCCAGCCAUCUCACUUGUUGUCUCUGCC
rnacentral:lncRNA from 1 species